rnacentral:rRNA from 1 species
AUGAUUAUGCGUCCCAUUAGCUAGUUGGUAAGGUAACGGCUUACCUAGGCAACUAUGGGUAUGGGUCCUGAGAGGGAGAUCCCCCACGCUGGUACUGAGACACGGACCAGACUCCUACGGGAGGCAGGGUGAGGAAUAUUGGUCAAUGGGCGCAAGCCUGAACCAGCCAUGCCUCGUGCAGGAUGACGGUCCUAUGGAUUGUAAACUGCUUUUGCACAGGAAGAAACACUCGGUCGUGACCUAUCUUGACUGUACUGUGACAAUAAGGAUCGGCUAACUCCGUGCCAUCCUCCGCGGUAAUACGGAGGAUCCAAGCGUUAUCCGGAAUCAUUGUCUUUAAAGGGUCCUCCCGCGGCCAGAUAAUUCUCAGGUGAAAGCCCAUCCCUCAACGAUGGAACGGCCAUUGAUACUGUUUGGCUUGAAUUAUUUGGAAGUAACUAUCUUAUGUAGUGUACCGGUGAAAUGCUUAUCCAUUACCUGGAAUACCAAUUGCGAACCUGGUUACUACAAAUUGAUUGACGCUGAUGGACGAAAGCGUGCGUAGCCAACACGAUUACAUACCCUGUUAGUCCACUCCGUACACGAUGGAUACUAUGUGUUGUGAGUCAUCUAGCUGGCUAAGCGAACGUGAUAAGUAUCCCACCUGGGGAGUACGUUCGCAAGAAUGAAACUCAAAGGAAUUGACGGGUGCCCGCACAAGCGGUGGAGCAUGUGGUGUAAUUAGCUGAUACGCGAGGAACCUUACCAAGGAUUAAAUGUAGAUUGACCGGUUUUAAACAGACUUUUCGCAAGACAAUUUACAAGGUGCUGCAUGGUUGUCGUCAGCUCGUGCCGUGAGGUGUCAGGUUACGUCCUAUAACGAGCGCAACCCCUGUUGUUAGUUGCCAUCGAGUCAUGUCGGGAACUCCAGCAAGGGGGAUCAGCGUAAACUGUGAGGAAGGUGGGGAGGACCUCAAAUCAUCACGGCCCUUACGCCUUGGGCUACACACG